AGACCCGAAACCCGGUGAUCUAGCCAUGGGCAGGUUGAAGGUUGGGUAACACUAACUGGAGGACCGAACCGACUAAUGUUGAAAAAUUAGCGGAUGACCUGUGGCUGGGGGUGAAAGGCCAAUCAAACCGGGAGAUAGCUGGUUCUCCCCGAAAGCUAUUUAGGUAGCGCCUCGUGAAUUCAUCUCCGGGGGUAGAGCACUGUUUCGGCUAGGGGGCCAUCCCGGCUUACCAACCCGAUGCAAACUGCGAAUACCGGAGAAUGUUAUCACGGGAGACACACGGCGGGUGCUAACGUCCGUCGUGAAGAGGGAAACAACCCAGACCGCCAGCUAAGGUCCCAAAGUCAUGGUUAAGUGGGAAACGAUGUGGGAAGGCCCAGACAGCCAGGAUGUUGGCUUAGAAGCAGCCAUCAUUUAAAGAAAGCGUAAUAGCUCACUGGUCGAGUCGGCCUGCGCGGAAGAUGUAACGGGGCUAAACCAUGCACCGAAGCUGCGGCAGCGACACUGUGUGUUGUUGGGUAGGGGAGCGUUCUGUAAGCCUGCGAAGGUGGCCUGUGAGGGUUGCUGGAGGUAUCAGAAGUGCGAAUGCUGACAUAAGUAACGAUAAAGCGGGUGAAAAGCCCGCUCGCCGGAAGACCAAGGGUUCCUGUCCAACGUUAAUCGGGGCAGGGUGAGUCGACCCCUAAGGCGAGGCCGAAAGGCGUAGUCGAUGGGAAACGGGUUAAUAUUCCCGUACUUGGUGUUACUGCGAAGGGGGGACGGAGAAGGCUAUGUUGGCCGGGCGACGGUUGUCCCGGUUUAAGCGUGUAGGUGUGUGUUCCAGGUAAAUCCGGUUCACUUUAACACUGAGGCGUGAUGACGAGGCACUACGGUGCUGAAGCAACAAAUGCCCUGCUUCCAGGAAAAGCCUCUAAGCAUCAGGUAACAUCAAAUCGUACCCCAAACCGACACAGGUGGUCAGGUAGAGAAUACCAAGGCGCUUGAGAGAACUCGGGUGAAGGAACUAGGCAAAAUGGUGCCGUAACUUCGGGAGAAGGCACGCUGACACGUAGGUGAAGUGAUUUACUCAUGGAGCUGAAGUCAGUCGAAGAUACCAGCUGGCUGCAACUGUUUAUUAAAAACACAGCACUGUGCAAACACGAAAGUGGACGUAUACGGUGUGACGCCUGCCCGGUGCCGGAAGGUUAAUUGAUGGGGUCAGCGCAAGCGAAGCUCCUGAUCGAAGCCCCGGUAAACGGCGGCCGUAACUAUAACGGUCCUAAGGUAGCGAAAUUCCUUGUCGGGUAAGUUCCGACCUGCACGAAUGGCGUAAUGAUGGCCAGGCUGUCUCCACCCGAGACUCAGUGAAAUUGAACUCGCUGUGAAGAUGCAGUGUACCCGCGGCAAGACGGAAAGACCCCGUGAACCUUUACUAUAGCUUGACACUGAACAUUGAGCCUUGAUGUGUAGGAUAGGUGGGAGGCUUUGAAGUGUGGACGCCAGUCUGCAUGGAGCCGACCUUGAAAUACCACCCUUUAAUGUUUGAUGUUCUAACGUGGACCCGUAAUCCGGGUUGCGGACAGUGUCUGGUGGGUAGUUUGACUGGGGCGGUCUCCUCCUAAAGAGUAACGGAGGAGCACGAAGGUUGGCUAAUCCUGGUCGGACAUCAGGAGGUUAGUGCAAUGGCAUAAGCCAGCUUGACUGCGAGCGUGACGGCGCGAGCAGGUGCGAAAGCAGGUCAUAGUGAUCCGGUGGUUCUGAAUGGAAGGGCCAUCGCUCAACGGAUAAAAGGUACUCCGGGGAUAACAGGCUGAUACCGCCCAAGAGUUCAUAUCGACGGCGGUGUUUGGCACCUCGAUGUCGGCUCAUCACAUCCUGGGGCUGAAGUAGGUCCCAAGGGUAUGGCUGUUCGCCAUUUAAAGUGGUACGCGAGCUGGGUUUAGAACGUCGUGAGACAGUUCGGUCCCUAUCUGCCGUGGGCGCUGGAGAACUGAGGGGGGCUGCUCCUAGUACGAGAGGACCGGAGUGGACGCAUCACUGGUGUUCGGGUUGUCAUGCCAAUGGCACUGCCCGGUAGCUAAAUGCGGAAGAGAUAAGUGCUGAAAGCAUCUAAGCACGAAACUUGCCCCGA
rnacentral:rRNA from 1 species